GCCCCUUUUUCUCUAUGCCCCU
rnacentral:miRNA from 1 species